rnacentral:rRNA from 1 species
UACGUAGGGUGCAAGCGUUAAUCGGAAUUACUGGGCGUAAAGCGUGCGCAGGCGGUCCGCUAAGACAGAUGUGAAAUCCCCGGGCUUAACCUGGGAACUGCAUUUGUGACUGGCGGGCUAGAGUAUGGCAGAGGGGGGUAGAAUUCCACGUGUAGCAGUGAAAUGCGUAGAGAUGUGGAGGAAUACCGAUGGCGAAGGCAGCCCCCUGGGCCAAUACUGACGCUCAUGCACGAAAGCGUGGGUAGCAAACAGG